AUGCAAACGGCUGGCAGUGCUAUGGGGGAGGGCGUCCAUCCCAGCCAGAACCCCUGGAGGGAGGUACUGGAGGCGGGGCCGCCCCAGCCAGCCCCGAGGGACUUUCUGGGUGGGUCAGGGGUGAGCAGGGACCCCGUGACGGGGGUGAUGCAUUGCUGGCAGCCGCCAGGGACGGCCGGGGCCGGGAGAGGUCGGCUGGCGGAGGGCUCAGUCCUGCUGGCACCGAGAGUCGUCUCCCUGGAGCCCUGGGGGAGGGCGGGGCCACAGCGGCAUCAGGGUCACCCCCGUCACCUCCUGCUCGGUGCCCUGCCACAUCGUGGCCACAGAGACCUCUCCCCGUUCCUGGCUCUCGGCACCUUGGAGCUUUCCCGAGGGCUCCCCGACCCUGGAUUGCGGCUCCUCUGCCCAGCGCCCGUCUUUCUGUCGCUCUCGGCUCCAGUGGAGGCUCCGUCAGGACACAGCUUGGGGCCGUGGCCCUGGCCCCACCUCCGUCCCUGCACCUGGCUGUCCUCUUCCUUCAAGACUUCGGCCCAGGCCGCCUGCACUGGGGCCCCGUCCUGCUUCGGGGACUGUCCCCCGCGGCAGGAGGAGGUCCCGGCCGGCCUGCCCCUCUCGGCCGCUGACCAGUGGCGCCGCUCCAGGUGGCUCCUGCAGCAGAUUUCACUGGGCUGCUGCUGUGUGCCAGGCACGUGUCCAGCACGGGGACACAGCAACAGGACAGACCAGGCACCUGCUCUCGGGACUCUGCACCGCAGGGCUGCAGGCAACCAGCAGGCAUGCAGGUGCGCAUGGGCUGUGGCGUGUGGUGGGUAUGGAGAAAACCACAGGGGGCAGGGGACAGGGCUGCGGCUGUGCGUGCAGCACGGGGCAAGUUCUGGGCCAGUCUGGGGGGUGGGGACAGCAUGUGCGAAGGCCCUGAGGCAGGCGCACGCCUGGACAGGCUCAGUGGUCACUGUGCUGUUUAUCACUCUGCAAAUUAAAUACUCCGGGUUGGGUCCAGUAAGUCAAUGGGGAACGGACGGAGGGAGGUGGGGACUGGUGAUGUAA
rnacentral:lncRNA from 1 species